UGGGGAAUAUUGCACAAUGGGCGCAAGCCUGAUGCAGCAACGCCGCGUGCGGGAUGACGGCCUUCGGGUUGUAAACCGCUUUCACCAGGGACGAAGUGCCUUUCGGGGUGUGACGGUACCUGGAGAAGAAGCACCGGCUAACUACGUGCCAGCAGCCGCGGUGAUACGUAGGGUGCGAGCGUUGUCCGGAUUUAUUGGGCGUAAAGAGCUCGUAGGUGGUUGAUCACGUCGGAAGUGAAAACUUGGGGCUUAACCCUGGGCGUGCUUUCGAUACGGGUUGACUUGAGGAAGGUAGGGGAGAAUGGAAUUCCUGGUGGAGCGGUGGAAUGCGCAGAUAUCAGGAGGAACACCAGUGGCGAAGGCGGUUCUCUGGACCUUUCCUGACGCUGAGGAGCGAAAGCGUGGGGAGCAAACAGGCUUAGAUACCCUGGUAGUCCACGCUGUAAACGGUGGGUACUAGGUGUGGGGUCCAUUCCACGGAUUCCGUGCCGUAGCUAACGCAUUAAGUACCCCGCCUGGGGAGUACGGCCGCAAGGCUAAAAC
rnacentral:rRNA from 1 species